GCAGACGUGGCCGAGUGGUUAAGGCGAUGGACUAGAAAUCCAAUAGGGUGUCCCCUCACAGGUUCGAAUCCUGUCGACUGCG
rnacentral:tRNA from 2 species